ACGUAGCACAUUAUAUAGAGUCGGAAACUGUUUAGUUGUAAUUUUCUUUUUGCUCUUGUUAGCUAGACUACGUAUGACCCUUGAUUUAGUCAAGGCGUAUGGUACUGGCAUAUAUUUGCUCUCUUUGUCGGUGCCGGUUUGUUUCUUGUCCCGCUGUUUGGGUUGGUUGGUUGCUCGUGCUCGGUGGUGGAUUCUGUCAAUGUGGUGCUUGCUGUGUCCGUGUGCAUGUCCGGUGGCAUAGAUGUGUUUGGGUUCGUCCUGCAAUUGUUUGCUGUCGGUGGUGUGCUCGUGUGCUCGUUUGGAAUGGAAGCGGGGUGCAGCUGCUUUGUGUGAUGCAGGGUCGGGGGACCAAUACGGUGUUGGGACCGGCUGGUGGGAAGGUUUGCGAUGUACCGCUGUUUUCGGCUCGCACCUCUCUGCUUGUACACUUGUGUCGGGAAGGUGUAUGUUGUUUUUGUCGAGUUGUUCUCGGUUGGGCUUUGGGCCGUGCUGAUGUGGGGUCGUGGCGGCUUGGAAUUGUUCUAUAUGUUCCUCCCCUUUCCAUACUGUCAUUACAUC
rnacentral:lncRNA from 1 species